GACGAACGCUGGCGGCGUGCUUAACACAUGCAAGUCGAACGGUGAAGCGCCUUCCUUUUUGGUGGGUGUGGAUGAGUGGCGAACGGGUGAGUAACACGUUAGUAACCUGCCCCCUUCUUCUGGAUAACCGCAUGAAAGUGUGGCUAAUACUGGAUAUUCUGGGUCUGUCGCAUGUUGGGUCUGGGAAAGAUAUUGUUUCGGUGGGGGAUGGGCUCGCGGCCUAUCAGCUUGUUGGUGGGGUGAUGGCCUACCAAGGCGGUGACGGGUAGCCGGCCUGAGAGGGUGGACGGCCACACUGGGACGGAGACACGGCGCAGACUCCGACGGGAGGCAGCAGUGGGGAAUAGUGAACAAUGGGCGCAAGCCUGAUGCAGCGACGCCGCGUGAGGGAUGGAGGCCUGCGGGUUGUGAACCUCUUUCGCCAGUGAAGCAGGCCUGCCUCGUUUGUGGGUGGGUUGACGGUAGCUGGAGAAGAAGCGCCGGCUAACUACGUG
rnacentral:rRNA from 1 species